rnacentral:rRNA from 1 species
GACGAACCGUGCGAACGUUAUUCGGAUUCACUGGGCUUAAAGGGCGCGUAGACGGACGACCGCGUCGAUGGCUGAAAGCCCCCGGCUCAACCGGGGAACGGGCCUCGAUACGGGUCGUCUCGAGUGGAGGAGGGGGACCUGGAACUUCCGGUGGAGCGGUGAAAUGCGUUGAGAUCGGAAGGAACGCCCGUGGCGAAAGCGGCUCACUGGACCAUAACUGACGCUGAGGCGCGAAAGCUAGGGGAGCAAACAGG